ensembl:lncRNA
AUCACUGUAUUUCUGAACAUAUUCUGUUUCUUACCUUGCAUGUGUCUUUCCAACUACAUGUCAUGGUUUGAGUCAUCACAAUGACAAACAUGGUAAGAAAUGUCAUAUGAUAACAUCAAAAACCUGUAUUAGCUUGUGUUAAAGUGCAGAAAGAAUCACUGUUUUUCUGAAUGUGUUGUUCUCUGGUUCUUUCUUUGCAUGACUCUUUCCAACUACAUGCCCUGGUUUGAGCUGCCACAAUAGUGAUUAUGGUUUGAGCCAUCACAAUGGCAAAGAUGGUAAUACAUCAAAAGCGGUGUGUAAAAGUGCAGCAUGAAAUUUGUAUUUUUAGAAAAUCACAGUAUUUCUGAACAUGUUACUCUGUUUCUUACCUUGCAUGUGUCUUUCCAACUACAUGUCAUGGUUUGAGCCAUCACAAUGACAAACAUGAUCGUCUGAUAGAAGAACAUGUUCAGGGCACUUAAAGGGACUUGAAGGGAUUCACUUUCCUCGUCACUGGAGCAGAGUGCUGGUGUCUUUAGGAAGCUCAGGAUGGGGAGGAUGUUUCAGACGUCAGAGCUACAGCAGACACCUGUCAUCUAUUGGACACUGUGUUCUUCCUCAGCAGCUUUGAAGCUUAUCUUUUGAAGUUCAGCCUUGAGCCUGUACGUUUCCAGCAAACAAGACUGCAGUGCAUUCUUCCGUUCUCCUUCCACCGCUCCUCUGCAUUGUUGCAAAACAUCUAGAGAGAUUAUGUAAAGUCUCUCUCAGGUCACAAGGACACAAGGCCACAUACAGCAUUGAAGUGAAUGUUAAGCUGCUACCACACUAUGAAGUGAACUCUACAGGCAGUCCAUACUACUCCAGGGAGACCAAAUAGCUUUGCUAAAUAAUUAUUUCACCAACAAUUUCAGGUCAUUUUCUAUCAAUUUCCUCAUUGCAGUUAUUUGAUUUAGUUUUUUUCAGGCUGUAUUAAGCCAGAUUUUUUUUAAUGGGC